rnacentral:rRNA from 1 species
CAGUAGCCGCGGGAAUACGUAGGUGGCAAGCGUUGUCCGGAAUUAUUGGGCGUAAAGGGCUCGCAGGCGGUUUCUUAAGUCUGAUGUGAAAGCCCCCGGCUCAACCGGGGAGGGUCAUUUGAAACUGGGAAACUUGAGUGCAGAAGAGGAGAGUGGAAUUCCACGUGUAGCGGUGAGAUGCGUAGAGAUGUGGAGGAACACCAGUGGCGAAGGCGACUCUCAGGUCUGUAACUGACGCUGAGGAGCAAAGCGUGGGGAGCGAACAGGAUUAGAUACCCGAGUAGUCCCUGUCUCUUAUACC